rnacentral:rRNA from 1 species
UCAUACAAGUACCGUGAGGGAAAGUUGCAAAGGAACUUGAAGAGAGAGUUCAAGAGGGCGUGAAACCGCUGAGAAGGAAACGGAUAGAGUUGACGAAACUCGGCGGCGUUCAUCCGAUCGGCCUAGCGGCGCCGCGGCUUCGCGCCUCGAUGAGGGCGAAGACGAGGAGUGCUGCCGGGCGUGUGAUUGGAGUAUUCGCCGUCGGUAUGCGCUGAGAGUUUGGGCGCCGUGCGCUUGCGUACGUGUAGUGGACCACGUCCUCUGGGCGUGGCACCCUCCACGUGCUAAGGCGUAUCGGCACUCAAGCCGUUGAGUGUGUCUCGGCUAGUGUUGCGCAGCGGUUGCAGUUGGCUGGCACGGCUGUUGGGCGGUCGCGUGCGACUUGCCUACGGCUGGCGUCAGCAAGCAGCGAUGCGGUUGCGUUGGGACGCAUUUCUCGGUGUAAACGUCGACCACCUAUCCGACCCGUCUUGAAACACGGACCAAGGAGUCUAGCAUAUGCGCGAGUCAUUGGGUGGUAAACCUAAAGGCGUAAUGAAAGUAAAGGUCGCCUUGAUGCGGCUGAUAUGGGAUCCGCGCGGUUGCGGCCGUGCGGCGCACCAUAGCCCCGUCCUCGUCGCUUGCGAUAGGGCGGAGGAGGAGCGCAUACUCUUUGUCCCGAAAGAUGGUGAACUAUGCCUGAGCAGGAUGAAGCACGAGCUCUGGUGGAGGUCCGAAGCGGUUCUGAGGGUGCAAAUCGAUCGUGAGACUGGGAUAGGGG